GACGAACGCUGGCGGCGUGCCUAAUACAUGCAAGUUGAGCGCUGAAGGUUGGUACUUGUACCAACUGGAUGAGCAGCGAACGGGUGAGUAACGCGUGGGGAAUCUGCCUUUGAGCGGGGGACAACAUUUGGAAACGAAUGCUAAUACCGCAUAAAAACUUUAAACACAAGUUUUAAGUUUGAAAGAUGCAAUUGCAUCACUCAAAGAUGAUCCCGCGUUGUAUUAGCUAGUUGGUGAGGUAAAGGCUCACCAAGGCGAUGAUACAUAGCCGACCUGAGAGGGUGAACGGCCACAAUGGGACUGGGAAAAGGCCCAAAAUUCUAAGGGAGGCAGCAGGAGGGAAACUUCGGCAAAGGACGAAAGGCUGACCGAGCAACGCCGCGGGAGUGAAGAAGGUUUUCGGAUCGGAAAACUCUGUUUGUAGAGAAGAAAGUUGGGGAGAGUGGAAAGCUCAUCAAGUGACGGUAACUACACAGAAAGGGACGGCUAACUACGUG
rnacentral:rRNA from 1 species